CUUCGUCGAUUCCCAGCAAUGAUUUUUUGCAGUAUGGCAAAUUCUUCUGCCCCAUAAGUAAAGACCAUCUUCGCCCCCGACAUAGCAAUUAGGUCAACCAUCUGAUCCUGGACAAUAUUCCAAAAUUCAAAGCCAAGAUUUUUAUUGUCUCUUUUGGGGAAAAUGUGGAAAACCAAUGGAUAUCGCAACUCCCACGAGCUACACGACAUUGCCACUUCUAAGACAUUAUUUUCGCGUAUGUAAAAGGUGAUUGCCAUCACUUGCGGUGGUGGGUCGUAGAGACUAAGCUUUUGAAAGGCCAGCACUAAUUCAUCCAUUUAAAAUGAAACAAACACGUUGCGAUACUUGUCAAUGUCAAUAGAGCUACCCUCCCACAAACAGUAGAAAAUAAAGGUGACGGCUGUAGGUAGAGGCGUUGCGAAACUGGGAGAAGGCGCUCAGUGGGUGCUGAGGGCUGGCAGAUCGCCGCCGACUGCGACCAGCCGCCGGUUGUGCUGGGGCUGACGACGGUGUAGUGGUGGUGGUGGUAGUCGUGGAGACCACCGGCACGGAGAGUUGGAAGUUCUCAAUCUCCUUCUUAAUCCCGGCCGAUUCAACCAGGAUCCCGGUCACCUCGUGUUUGAUUUGCUCAGAGGCUGAGGGGACCUGCAGUAGGGCCUUGAGGUUGUUCUCCAGACCGAGAAGGUGGGUGACAUACCCAUCGACGCGUUUCAUCGGCAGCAGCAGCACCCAUUCACUGAUGGAGAGGAAGAAGUCCCCCUCCUUCACGAAGAUGGCGCCGCUGUUCAGCUGGCCCGCUGCCUCGAUGGAUGCCUUGGUGUACACCUCGUUGUGGCCCAUGAUAUGGGGUGGGCCACGCCUCGCCGCCAGGGCGAGCUGCACCGUACAGCCCAACAGGAGAAGCGCCCAAAACGAAGCCAUGUCAGCCUGUGGAAGGAAGACAAAUUAGUCCUUCCGAUAUCGGCGAAAGUACCACCGCACAUCAUUGGAUAGGCUGUCAAAGGACCAAUAUGUGCGGCAGGAGGGCGUAUACCCCGGCAGGGAGAGAGUAUAAGUGUCCGUCCGUAAACGUAAAAUUAAAGUGUCUGGCGCCCGCGCAGUCCUGCAGAUGUGUGAUAAGAAACGAUGGAGCCGGCGCUCUGCGCGGCGUCCGUUGCGUCCGAGUAUCGUUUCUGUCCGUGGCUGCAGGGGAGCCCAAGAGCCCCCGCAGUCCCGAAUGUCGAGGGUCAACCAUUGCGUCGAGUAAUUGUAAGUUAUGUGCGGCGUCGAGUCACGAUGGCACGCCCAUGCGUGCUCAAAUACCGCCGCUAGGCCCGGGUGGCAGUAUAGGGAGGCCCAAGCAGCAGGAGGGGCAUGGGCCUGCACCAACAGGUGACAGACGCGAAUCGCCGCUAUCUCCUGCAACGGCGGUACCAUUCCGACGGGUCCUAGUACAGCCGGAACUUGCGCCAGUCCCGCCGCAGGUGCGAAGUUGCACCGUAGCAGUCCUUCCGAAGGUGUGUAGCGGAGAAGCAGAAGUAACAACGGCGGACCGGAUAAUUAUAGUCCACGCGAUGGUCACUGGGGCGGCAGGGCGCCUCCAGCUCCUGACGAUCGGCCUCGGCGAGGGAAUCGUCGGUGCUAUCCGGGUCGGUGCUGUCCCUGCGGGGUGUAUCCGGGGUCCACCAUGUAAUUCAUCGCAUUUCUAGUUACACCUAUUUCACCGCAACAAGUAAGCAACACUUCGACUUUCCCCGCUGUUUUCUCUAGUUGUUUUUCUAUGCAUAGCCGACCCUCCGUCGGCCCUCCUCCGUGCCCCGUGCCCGGGGUAUCCCAACCGCAUGGCCAAGGAGUAUACUACUGUAUGCGGAAAGUGUAUCGGCAGAAAGAGACUCAGUCUGCGCGGGGUAUUCCCGCCGUGAGCGAGCGCCCACGUGGCCGCACCCCGACCGCGGGGGAAUAGUUCCCCCCCCUCCCCCCCACACACGCACACACACUGGUCGGCCCGGCCCACCUUCAAAUUUCUAGAGGACCGAACGUGGUUAUGUUAAUCCGACUGAAAACUAUGCAACAAUGUAAUAAAAAACAAAAUUUAACGUCGGCCAAAUUUUGUUCCUUAUUGCAUUGUUGCAUUGUUUUUUGAACGACUUGCCCCGAGCUUGUACUCAUGCCAUCAUCGUGUAUUAGAUGUUUUUUAGCAGAUGAUACAUUAUACACAACUGAAAUUAAUAGUACUUUACUUAACUAUGUAUCAUUGCUUGUUUACUUUGUUAUUCUUUUUAGGGGGCCGGGCUGGGCCUUUUUCUGUACGAGUAAAAGAUGCGCCAGAAGAAUCUGCAACAAUCCUGGAAGAACUCCACGAAGCCGAACGAACGUGAACACUUGUGGUGAAGAUCUGCUGUGAAGACCUGCGGUCUUGUGGUGUUGAUUAUCUGCCGUAGCGCGUACGAAAGAUACCCAGGAAGCAGCAUUUGGCCCCUCUAGUUGGCAUGAAAAUCUCUUCUUCUCGUCACUUAUUUGCACACAAGGACUUCAAAGAAUAAGUCAGUUAUAUCGGAGACUAUGACAAGACAGUAAGUUGAUGUCAAAUAAAAGUCGUGUGAAAGUAA